CAUGUCUUAAAUAGCAUUUUACCGUUGUUACGAGGUGUAUGUGUUUGUAUUUUGUUUUUUCAUACUGCACUGAAGUAUACAUGAAGUUAGAAAUCACUUAUUACAUGUUUGAUUAUACAUGCUAAAUGGGUGGGACUGAAAUAAUUAAUGAUAAUCACCCAUCAUCCUCCAGGCCUUCCUGAGGACUCCCAAGGCGUUUCCAGAUUGUUACACCAGAUGUUCUGGUCUGCCCCGUGGUCUCUUGGCAGCUUUGCAGAGAAGCAUCUGGAGGUGUUUCUUAAUCAGAUUCCCACACUGAAAGAGGAACUUCGCGACUCUUUUUCAAAGGACCUGUAGCACACACCCAGACAAACACCUUGGCGACCCAACAAGACUUCAAACUCCACAGUCUGCAUUUUAGGCGCGGGAUCUUUGCCUCUGGUGUGGCUUCCCCCCAUUCAUCUCCCUCCUCUCCUAACCUCCGUCCACUUAUCACCCAUCCUUUAAUAGUGCCCUGCAUACUCCCUUUCUACAAUGUCCUCUCCUGUGCCUCCUCAACCAAGAGGCAUCGACUACAACCUGCCCACCUGUGGUGAGACGCGGUGCAAUAGCCACGGUAGGUGUGAGAAUUCUCCUGAUGGCGGCAUCGAGUUAGUUUGUGAGUGUGACCUCGGCUACCAGGGAAGCUCCUGCGAGGACACGGUCAAUGGGGCGUUAAGUCUACCGCUGACCCUGAGUGUGCUGGCCGUCAUCAUCGGACUGCUGAUCCUGGCUUUCAUCGUUGCCAAAGUGAGGCAGAAGCAAAAGAAGAGGAACAGGAAACGUCUGGCAGAAAAACAUGGCUUCAACGUCGCUGUGUGAUGUGGAUAAAUCUGCAUCAUCUGAGGUCAACCACCACGUUGUUGUCCUUUGACACUGCUGAGCCUCCAUCAGCGUUCUUCUUCUGCAAGCUUACAGCACAGCUUGUUGAAUGUUGUGUGGACUUUGCAUCAGAUCUCCUGCUUACGGCUGCUGCUCCAUGACUGAUCAUCCCAGGAACUCAAACUGAUGAAUGGAGCUUAAACCGACUUAUUAAUGACACAGCCUGUGCAGUAAUAAUGUUUUACGUAUGUCAUUUAAAGAUGGGGGAAACCUUACAGUGCAUCCCUACACACAUUAUUCACUGAGGGCAAAUGGCGUGCAAGUACACAGCUCAUAAGCUUUUACUUUAGACACUGUGUUUACAAGCAUGUGUGUUACACUAACAUUUUAUUACAGUGGAUUUGUGGCAUUGAGUCUUCACCUGCAGAACACAGCAGAGGCUUUAAAGGGGCACUAUGUCAUUUUGGAGAAGAAAUUGUAAUCAGAAGAAAAAGACUUUUAGUGAUUUAUUUUCAUGACUGAAUGAACAGACAGCCUCUAAAGGACAAAAAAAUUACUGUUUUACUUUGUUUAUAUGUGGCGGACCCUGCCACCUCAAACAGUGUUCUUGGGACCUUUAUUUUCCUCUGCGAACAGCUUGUCUAUUAAGUUAUGGAAAACAUAUAUAAUAUAUCUGAGUUUGCAUUGUCACCUUAUGAAUAUAUAAUAUUAAGUUUUGGAUGUUGAAUUUCUGCCCCUUUAAGCUGAAGUUGACAUAAUGUGCCGCUGCCAACUCUACAACAGCAAACAUUUGGGAGAUUAAAAAGUCAGAAAAUAUACACUUCCAUUUACUAUUAAUAUGUAAACAAAUAUCACUUUUUGUAACUGAUUAUUUGCUUAUUAGCACAGUCAAACUGUUUUAGAUUUCCUGCACAGCACUGUAUCCAUCAGCAGCUACUUCUUCACAGUCUGAAUGCAGGGGGAAAUGGAUUCUGUCUAUACUUCCUUCAUGUGCGCAAAAUCUUGUUUCCAUAGAUAAGCUGAAAGCGCUCCCUCACACUGGCUCUAUUUAACAAAAUAAUGCAAAUGUUCAACUGUCACCAACUCUCCUGGCUUUGUUUAAAUGCAGAGAAAGCAGAGGGGACUCUUACAGAGACAGUGAGAGAGUCUGACUGCCACGUUGUGAUAUGUGUGUCGCUCAAGGUGUGAGAGAACAUGAGGUGUUUCCACAGGAAUCCAUUUCAUACAGUGUAAGCCAGGAACCAGAUUUGAUUUGUCAUGACCUUUUGAAGAGGACUUAAAUCAGACAGGAUGCACUUUCAGCAGCACGGUGUGGUUUUAUUCUGUUGUUGUCAUUCAUUGUUGCACUUUGCACUUGCCAGUUUAUCAUGGAAUCCUUGCUGCAUUUAGGCUCUUGCUAAUUUUUUGUUGUAUUUGUGUGUUUAGACAUCAAACAUUAUUAUUAUUAGAGGAUGUCUGUAACUUGAAAUUAGAAAUCUGACAGAUGCCAGAAAAAGACUGAGAGUAAGUGAGCACAGAAUUAAAGAAUUAAAGGUCAGCCAACUGAACUAGCUGACAGCAGUUAUCAGCCAUCAGCUGUUCCUCUGGCUCUGCUGCCCCCUAGUUACCUGGUGUGUAAGUUCAACAGGUGGCCAAUUCUUACAUAUUGCACGUUUAAAUUCACAAAUGCAGUUGUGUCUCGAGAUUUGCUCUCUGCUCUCUGCUUACACUGUCUAUGACCUUGCAAGUAGACUCUGCUCUCUGAAUCUCAUAAUGUUGUCACAUAUAAACCUCUGUGCCUCUGCUGAUGUCUCUAACUCACAGCUAGUCACAGUGGUCCUUGUGAACAAUAUAGUGCUUUUUAUCCUGUAUUAUUGACUGAAUAGCUCUGCUUAAUGCACAUUUUUCCUUUUUGUACCUGAUGAUAACUACAAGCUGCAUAACUGUUUGUUUAUAAUCUUGUCUUCCUCUUAGUGAUGCAGUUAUUUCAUAUAUUCAGACAUGUAUCUUAUGUAUGAACACUGAGAAUGUCAAUUGUGUAUAUAAAUGUAUUGUAAGUGGCUGAACAAUUU